rnacentral:rRNA from 1 species
UACGGGGGGGGCAAGCGUUGUUCGGAAUUACUGGGCGUAAAGGGCGCGUAGGCGGCCUACUAAGUCGGACGUGAAAUCCCUCGGCUCAACCGAGGAACUGCGUCCGAUACUGGCAGGCUGGAAUCCGGGAGAGGGAUGUGGAAUUCCAGGUGUAGCGGUGAAAUGCGUAGAUAUCUGGAGGAACACCGGUGGCGAAGGCGGCAUCCUGGACCGGCAUUGACGCUGAGGCGCGAAAGCCAGGGGAGCAAACGGG